rnacentral:rRNA from 1 species
AAUCAACGCUGGCGGCGUGCCUCAGACAUGCAAGUCGAACGAUUAAAGCUCUCUUCGGAGAGUGCAUAGAGUGGCGCACGGGUGAGUAACACGUAAGUAAUCUACCUUUGAGUGGGGAAUAACACCGAGAAAUCGGUGCUAAUACCGCAUAACAUCCUGCCUUUGAACAGGCGGUGAUCAAAGCCGGGGAUCGCAAGACCUGGCGCUUGAUGAGGGGCCCGCGUCUGAUUAGCUAGUUGGUGAGGUAAUGGCCCACCAAGGCAACGAUCAGUAUCCGGCCUGAGAGGGCGGACGGACACACUGGGACUGAGACACGGCCCAGACUCCUACGGGAGGCAGCAGUGGGGAAUUGUUCGCAAUGGGCGCAAGCCUGACGACGCAACGCCGCGUGGAGGAUGAAGGUCUUCGGAUUGUAAACUCCUGUUGCUCGGGACGAAUGGCUCCGGCCUAAUACGUCGGAGUGUGACGGUACCGGGUGAGGAAGCCCGGCUAAC